rnacentral:rRNA from 1 species
AACGCGAAGAACCUUACCAGCCCUUGACAUCCCGAUCGCGGUUACCAGAGAUGGUAUCCUUCAGUUAGGCUGGAUCGGUGACAGGUGCUGCAUGGCUGUCGUCAGCUCGUGUCGUGAGAUGUUGGGUUAAGUCCCGCAACGAGCGCAACCCUCGCCCUUAGUUGCCAUCAUUCAGUUGGGCACUCUAAGGGGACUGCCGGUGAUAAGCCGAGAGGAAGGUGGGGAUGACGUCAAGUCCUCAUGGCCCUUACGGGCUGGGCUACACACGUGCUACAAUGKUGGUGACAGUGGGCAGCGAGACCGCGAGGUCGAGCUAAUCUCCAAAAGCCAUCUCAGUUCGGAUUGCACUCUGCAACUCGAGUGCAUGAAG